rnacentral:rRNA from 1 species
AGUGAACGCUGGCGGUAGGCCUAACACAUGCAAGUCGAACGGCAGCACAGUAAGAGCUUGCUCUUACGGGUGGCGAGUGGCGGACGGGUGAGGAAUAUAUCGGAAUCUACUUUUUCGUGGGGGAUAACGUAGGGAAACUUACGCUAAUACCGCAUACGACCUACGGGUGAAAGCAGGGGAUCUUCGGACCUUGCGCGAUUGAAUGAGCCGAUGUCGGAUUUGCUAGUUGGCGGGGUAAAGGCCCACCAAGGCGACGAUCCGUAGCUGGUCUGAGAGGAUGAUCAGCCACACUGGAACUGAGACACGGUCCAGACUCCUACGGGAGGCAGCAGUGGGGAAUAUUGGACAAUGGGCGCAAGCCUGAUCCAGCCAUACCGCGUGGGUGAAGAAGGCCUUCGGGUUGUAAAGCCCUUUUGUUGGGAAAGAAAAGCAGCAGGUUAAUACCCCGCUGUUCUGACGGUACCCAAAGAAUAAGCACCGGCUAACUUCGUG